AGAACGAACGCUGGCGGCAGGCUUAACACAUGCAAGUCGAACGCUCCUAGCAAUAGGGGAGUGGCAGACGGGUGAGUAACGCGUGGGAACAUACCCUCCGGUUCGGAAUAACUCAGGGAAACUUGAGCUAAUACCGGAUCCGCCCCCGGACUUGAUCCGGGGGGAAAGAUUUAUCGCCGGAGGAUUGGCCCGCGUCCGAUUAGCUAGUUGGUAAGGUAACGGCUCACCAAGGCGACGAUCAGUAGCUGGUCUGAGAGGAUGAUCAGCCACAUUGGGACUGAGACACGGCCCAAACUCCUACGGGAGGCAGCAGUGGGGAAUAUUGGACAAUGGGCGCAAGCCUGAUCCAGCCAUGCCGCGUGAGUGAUGAAGGCCCUAGGGUUGUAAAGUCUCUUUUGUGCGGGAAGAUAAUGACGGUACCGCAAGAAUAAGCCCGGCUAACUUCGUGCCAGCAGCCGC
rnacentral:rRNA from 1 species